AGGAUAAACGCUGGCGGCGUGCAUGAGACAUGCAAGUCGAACGGACGAUCAGGGCUUGCUCUGAUCGUUAGUGGCGGACGGCUGAGUAACGCGUAGGUGACCUGCCCCGAAGUGGGGAAUAACUGCCCGAAAGGGUGGCUAAUACCGCAUGUGGUGGUGUGUUCAUUCACACCAGUAAAGCCGCAAGGCGCUUCGGGAGGGGCCUGCGUCCGAUUAGCUCGUUGGUGGGGUAACGGCUCACCAAGGCGACGAUCGGUAGGUGGUCUGAGAGGACGAUCACCCAGACUGGGACUGAGACACGGCCCAGACUCCUACGGGAGGCAGCAGUCGGGAAUUUUUGCGCAAUGGACGAAAGUCUGACGCAGCAACGCCGCGUGAGGGAUGAAGGCCUUCGGGUUGUAAACCUCUUUUAUCAGGGAAGAUAAUGACGGUACCUGAUGAAUAAGUCACGGCUAACUACGUGCCAGCAGCCGC
rnacentral:rRNA from 1 species